AGAAGAUUAACAUCUCAGCAACUAACCUCGAUGUACUCAAACACCGAAAUGGCAGAUAUACCAAUGCAUGAAGCCGACCACGUCGCCGCCGAGCCCGUCGCCGCCGGCCCCGUUGCCGCCGAAUA